CAAGCGUCCACGCUCGGGGUGUGCGGCGGGCGCCCCAGUCCGCUCCCUGCCGGUGCCCGCACUUCCGAGCCCGGGCGCACCUACCUCUUCCUCCUGCAGGAACAAAAGUGUAACCUGGCAAGAAAUAAACCAAGAGUCUGUGGAAACUACAACCGAAGAUAUUCAGAAGCAAGGCUACAAUUUAUCUGGGGAAACUUUGUUUUGAUGCAUGGAUUGUGUUGAUUAGCGGCCCUUCCCACUGCCAGCAUUUCCCUGUUACAUGACGAACCACGAGGGGGCAAUAUCUUCCUGAGCAGUAGCUGAGUGGUGGUCUUCGACCCCUGUGCUGGCCAGUAAUCCCAGGACUUUGCUCUCCUUGGCCAUUCUUGCCUGUUAUUGAACGCACUCACAGAAAGGCAUUGUUUGGCUGGAGCUUGGCAGGGGCCCAAGAAGAAUGACAGUUAAUCUAGUCCUUGAUGGUUCCAGUCAGACCCCACUUAAAAGCCAAACUGGGACUUUGUCCAUUGUUAAGUCAGAAACCAGGGGCCAGGGAUUUAGCUCAGUGGUUUCGCCACCUGCUGAGCAAGCACAAGGACCUGAGUUCGAUCCCCGGUACCAAAAAAAAAAAAAAAGUCAGAAACCUCUGGGAUAAGAAACAAAAGUAAGUUCCAUUACAGGAGCCUUGUCUGGUUUGUUCAUUGUGUUCUCACCAUCUAGACAAUGCCUAACACAUAGUAGGUACUCAAUUACUUAUAAUGAAUGAGCACAUUAAGUCUUACUUAGCAGUUACUUUUUCUGGGGCUUGAAUGACAUUAUCGGAUUUAUUCAGGAUCUGGGAGGAAAGAAUGAAUUAGUACAGGUGUCUUAGAAUGAAUGGAGAGGCACAGAACGUCACUAGAGAGAGUCAGAGCAGUGGUCAUUAUUCUGCAGGGGGCAGGGCCUAAAAGACCUUAAACAAAAUGGGACAGUUGAUGAGAUUUCAAGAAAUAAAAGGGAAACUCACAUCAGUCUAUUGACACACCAGCCAGUUGAGAAGCUAGCAGGGUUUCCUAAUGUCUAUAGUUGGGAGGGAGAGUGCAGCAUGUUUUCAGAGUGUAAGGCUGGCAUAAUAUGCUGGAAUGAAAGGGAUUUGUUUCCUGUCAUUUCUGCAAAGAAUGGUUUAGACUUAUUUGGAAGAAAAGUCAAAUAAUGUAUAACCAACAAAACCUAAGAAAAAUCUGUAAACAGAUCUUCAUUAUUUAUAAAACCUGUGACUUGAGUAUGUAUGUGGGGUGUGUGUAUGUGUGUGCAUGCACACAUGCGUGUGGUGGGAGGGAAGAAUGUACAUUCACUCAGGCUAUAAAUAAUCAUUAUGACUUGUUUACUACUUCAAAGAAAGAAAGUUUCAAAAGUGAGAUCUCCUCAGUAGCAAUAGUUUCCAGGCAUAGUAAGAACUGUAAGACAACAAAGAGAUUUUAUAUCCUGGAAAAAUUGGGCUAAUGACCAAGAAACAUCUGCCCUCUCCCCUGCCCACUGCCUUACCAUAUUUCUGUCUGACCUACAAGGUUACAUGCCAGAUUCAAGGGGAAAUAUCAUAUGCACCUGUAGUUUUUAUUGCUCAUCACUGUUUCUCUGGCACGGUUCCUUUUGAGGCUUGCAUUGAGAAAUCCAAACCCAUAAUUAUGUCUUAAAUGUUUGUCUCUGGGAAUUUUAGACAUUAAAAGGCUAUUUUGAGGCUA